GCUGGCUUACGGGUUAGAAAAAUCCGCUUAUCUUUGUAUAACAUGAUUUUUUGCUCAAUUUGGAUCUGUGUGACCAAUUUGAUUUUAACGAGAAAAAUGUUUUCAAUUUUUGCAGGUCAAUCUGUGGUGCGCUCUGUUUAAUAAAUGGAAGUUUUCCUCUCUUUUCUGUCAAAAAAACAAAAGAAAAACCGUGAUGCGGCGCAAUAGAUCCGCGCUUGGUCCCAAUUACAUGGGCCAGAAGCAAACAUAAACGUGUAGCCUUUUUGGGCUGAAGUGGAUAUGGCGAAUACUUCAUUUUUCUAGCACGGCCCA
rnacentral:lncRNA from 1 species